GCAGCCAUGCCGCGUGUGUGAAGAAGGCCGUUCGGGUUGUAAAGCACUUUCAGUAGGGAGGAAGGUAGUGUAGUUAACACCUGCAUUAUUUGACGUUACCUACAGAAGAAGCACCGGCUAACUCCGUGCCAGCAGCCGCGGUAAUACGGGAGGGUGCGAGCGUUAAUCGGAAAUUACUGGGCGUAAAGCGCAUGCAGGCGGCCUGUUAAGUCAGAUGUGAAAGCCCGGGGCUUAACCUCGGAAUUGCAUUUGAAACUGGCAGGCUAGAGUCUUGUAGAGGGGGGUAGGAAUUUCAGGUGUAGCGGUGAAAUGCGUAGAGAUCUGAAGGAAUACCAGUGGCGAAGGCGGCCCCCUGGACAAAGACUGACGCUCAGAUGCGAAAGCGUGGGGAGCAAACAGGAUUAGAUACCCUGGUAG
rnacentral:rRNA from 1 species